GGAUACCAUAUACUCAAAAGGAAAUUGACAGCAUAGUUGGCGAAUGGAUUGGUCAUUUUGCAGAGAUAUACGGUUAGUUUUAGAACUUCUUUUUGCUGCUGUUUAAUGGCUAUUAUGAUGCUUAUCAAUCAUCAAGAAUCCUAAUGCAAGAUAUAUUGCUAGGGAGCACCUGUCUAAAAUGCAGAACCGAAGUGCACGGUGGAAGAUCUAUAAAGUCAAGAUAUAUAUUAAUAGUAGAAAAAACAUUACGUAUGGGGUCUUUAGCCUUUGAGAUUGUCAUGUUUUAUAUACUUAAAGCUAUGUAUAUUUAGCUAUAUGAUAUUUGUGACCAAGAUGGACAAUUAUCAAGUUUUAAU